rnacentral:rRNA from 1 species
AAAACACUGACGAACGCUGGCGGCGUGCCUAACACAUGCAAGUCGAACGAAGACCAUAGAGGAGCUUGCUUUAAUAUGGUUUUAGUGGCGGACGGGUGAGUAACGCGUGAGGACUUGUCGAGUACAGGGGGACAACAGGUGGAAACGUCUGCUAAUACCCCAUAAGCCUUAUGGUAAAAGGAGCGAUCCGGUACACGAGAGACUCGCGUUCUAUCAGCUAGUAGGUGGGGUAACGGCCCACCCAGGCCAAGACGGAUAGCCGGACUGAGAGGUCGAUCGGCCACACUGGAACUGAGACACGGUCCAG